rnacentral:rRNA from 1 species
UACAGAGGGUGCAAACGUUGUUCGGAAUUACUGGGCGUAAAGCGUGUGUAGGCGGCCUCGUAGGUCGGAUGUGAAAGCUCUCGGCUACAACCGGGAAAGUGCAUUCGAAACCACAAGGCUUGAGUGUCGGAGAGGAAGGCGGAAUUGUCGGUGUAGAGGGUGAAAUCGUAGAUAUCGACAGGAACGACCUGCGGCGAAAGCGGACCUCU